rnacentral:rRNA from 1 species
UACGUAGGGUGCGAGCGUUAAUCGGAAUUACUGGGCGUAAAGCGUGCGCAGGCGGCUUGCCAAGUCAGAUGUGAAAGCCCCGGGCUUAACCUGGGAAUGGCGUUUGAAACUGGCAGGCUAGAGUUUGGCAGAGGGGGGUGGAAUUCCACGUGUAGCAGUGAAAUGCGUAGAGAUGUGGAGGAACACCGAUGGCGAAGGCAGCCCCCUGGGUCAAGAUUGACGCUCAUGCACGAAAGCGUGGGGAGCAAACAGG